rnacentral:rRNA from 1 species
AUUCCGGUUGAUCCUGCCGGAGGACAUUGCUAUUGGGAUUCGAUUUAGCCAUGCUAGUCGAACGAGUUCAAACUCGGGGCGAAAAGCUCAGUACCCCGGGGCCAAGCUCCCCUUCAGUCAGCGAUACCCUCGGGAAACUGAGGUUAACAGCUGAUACAAAACGCCAGCUGGAAUGCGGCGUUUCAGAAAGACAUCGCUGAAGGAUGCGGCUGCGGCCGAUUAGGUAGACGGUGGGGUAACGGCCCACCGUGCCAGUAAUCGGUACGGGUGAUGAGAGUCAGAGCCCGGAGACGGAAUCUGAGACAAGAUUCCGGGCCCUACGGGGCGCAGCAGGCGCGAAACCUUUACACUGCACGGAAGUGCGAUAGGGGAAUCCCAAGUGCGAGGGCAUAUUAGCCCUCGCUUUUCUCGACUGUAAGGUGGUCGACGAAUAAGAGCUGGGCAAGACCGGUGCCAGCCGCCGCGGUAA